rnacentral:rRNA from 1 species
UACGUAGGGUGCGAGCGUUGCCCGGAAUCAUUGGGCGUAAAGAGCGUGUAGGCGGCCCCUUAAGUCCUGCGUGAAAUCCUGCGGCUCAACCGCAGACGGUCGUGGGAAACUGGAGGGCUAGAGUGCGGGAGAGGAGAGUGGAAUUCCCGGUGUAGCGGUGAAAUGCGCAGAUAUCGGGAAGAACACCCGUGGCGAAGGCGGCUCUCUGGAACGCAACUGACGCUGAGACGCGAAAGCGUGGGGAGCAAACAGG